UUUUUUUUUUUUUUGAGAUGGAAUCUCUCUGUGUCACCCAGGCUGCAGUGCAGUAGUGGGAUCUCGGCUCACUGCAACCUUCAUCUCCUGGGUUCAAGCGAUUCUCCUGCCUCAGCCUCCUGAAUGGCUGGGAUUACAGGCAUAUGCCACUAUGCUUUGCUUUUUUUUUUUUUUUUUUUUUUUUAAAGCAGAGACAGGGUUUUGCCAUGUUGGCCAGGCUUGUCUCGAAAUCCUGACCUCAGGUGAUCCACCGGCCUUGGCCUCCCAAAGUGCUGGGUUUACAGGCAUGAGCCACUGCGCCCAGCCUGAAAUAUAUUUUAUUUUAUUUUAUUUUUAUUUUAAUUUUUUAUUAUUAUUAUACUUUAAGUUCUAGGGUUCAUGUGCAAAACGUACAGGUUUGUUACAUAUGUAUACUUGUGCCAUGUUGCUGUGCUGCACCCAUCAACUCGUCAGCACCCAUCAACUCGUCAUUUACAUCAGGUAUAACUCCCAGUGCAAUCCCUCCCCCCUCCCGCCUCCCUAUGAUAGGCCCCGGUGUGUGAUGUUCCCCUUCGUGAGUCCAAGUGAUCUCAUUGUUCAGUUCCCACCUAUGAGUGAGAACAUGCGGUGUUUGGUUUUCUGUUCUUGUGAUAGUUUGCUAAGAAUGAUGGUUUCCAGCUGCAUCCAUGUCUCUACAAAGGACACAAACUCAUCCUUUUUUAUGGCUGCAUAGUAUUCCAUGGUGUAUAUGUGCCACAUUUUCUUAAUCCAAUCUGUCACUGAUGGACAUUUGGGUUGAUUCCAAGUCUUUGCAAUUGUGAAUAGUGCUGUAAUAAACAUACGUGUGCAUGUGUCUUUAUAGCAGCAUAAUUUAUAAUCCUUUGGGUAUAUACCCAGUAAUGGGAUGGCUGGGUCAUAUGGUACAUCUAGUUCUAGAUCCUUGAGGAAUCGCCAUACUGUUUUCCAUAAUGGUUGAACUAGUUCACAAUCCCACCAACAGUGUAAAAGUGUUCCUAUUUCUCCACAUCCUCUCCAGCACCUGUUGUUUCCUGACUUUUGAAUGAUUGCCAUUCUAACUGGUGUGAGAUGGUAUCUCAUUGUGGUUUUGAUUUGCAUUUCUCUGAUGGCCAGUGAUGAUGAGCAUUUUUUCAUGUGUCCGUUGGCUGUAUGAAUGUCUUCUUUUGAGAAAUGUCUGUUCAUAUCCUUUGCCCACUUUUUGAUGGGGUUGUUUGUUUUUUUCUUGUAAAUUUGUUUGAGUUCUUUGUAGGUUCUGGAUAUUAGCCCUUUGUCAGAUGAGUAGAUUGCAAAAAUUUUCUCCCAUUCUGUAGGUUGCCUGUUCACUCUGAUGGUAGUUUCUUUUGCUGUGCAGAAGCUCUUUAGUUUAAUGAGAUCCCAUUUGUCAAUUUUGGCUUUUGCUGCUGUUGCUUUUGGUGUUUUAGACAUGAAAUCUUUGCCCAUGUCUAUGUCCUGAAUGGUACUACCUAGGUUUUCCUCUAGGAUUUUUAUGGUAUUAGGUCUAACAUUUAAGUCUCUAAUCCAUCUUGAAUUAAUUUUCGUAUAAGGAGUAAGGAAAGGAUCCAGUUUCAGCUUUCUACUUAUGGCUAGCCAAUUUUCCCAGCACCAUUUAUUAAAUAGGGAAUCCUUUCCCCAUUUCUUGUUUCUCUCAGGUUUGUCAAAGAUCAGAUGGCUGUAGAUGUGUGGUAUUAUUUCUGAGGACUCUGUUCUGUUCCAUUGGUCUAUAUCUCUGUUUUGGUACCAGUACCAUGCUGUUUUGGUUACUGUAGCCUUGUAGUAUAGUUUGAAGUCAGGUAGCGUGAUGCCUCCAGCUUUGUUCUUUUGACUUAGGAUUGUCUUGGAGAUGCGGGCUCUUUUUUGGUUCCAUAUGAACUUUAAAGCAGUUUUUUCCAAUUCUGUGAAGAAACUCAUUGGUAGCUUGAUGGGGAUGGCAUUGAAUCUAUAAAUUACCUUGGGCAGUAUGGCCAUUUUCAUGAUAUUGAUUCUUCCUAUCCAUGAGCAUGGUACGUUCUUCCAUUUGUUUGUGUCCUCUUUUAUUUCACUGAGCAGUGGUUUGUAGUUCUCCUUGAAGAGGUCCUUUACAUCCCUUGUAAGUUGGAUUCCUAGGUAUUUUAUUCUCUUUGAAGCAAUUGUGAAUGGAAGUUCAUUCCUGAUUUGGCUCUCUGUUUGUCUGUUACUGGUGUAUAAGAAUGCUUGUGAUUUUUGCACAUUAAUUUUGUAUCCUGAGACUUUGCUGAAGUUGCUUAUCAGCUUAAGGAGAUUUUGGGCUGAGACAAUGGGGUUUUCUAAAUAUACAAUCAUGUCAUCUGCAAACAGGGACAAUUUGACUUCUUCUUUUCCUAACUGAAUACCCUUGAUUUCUUUCUCUUGCCUAAUUGCCCUAGCCAGAACUUCCAACACUAUGUUGAAUAGGAGUGGUGAGAGAGGGCAUCCCUGUCUUGUGCCAGUUUUCAAAGGGAAUUUUUCCAGUUUUUGCCCAUUCAGUAUGAUAUUGGCUGUGGGUGUGUCAUAAAUAGCUCUUAUUAUUUUGAGGUACGUUCCAUCAAUACCGAAUUUAUUGAGCGUUUUUAGCAUGAAGGGCUGUUGAAUUUUGUCAAAAGCCUUUUCUGCAUCAAUUGAGAGAAUCAUGUGGUUCUUGUCUUUGGUUCUGUUUAUAUGCUGCAUUAUGUUUAUUGAUUUGCGAAUGUUGAACCAGCCUUGCGUCCCAGGGAUGAAGCCCACUUGAUCAUGGUAGUGUUAAUUAUUUUUUAUUCUUUGGUAAGAGUGAUGGUUCCUGCAUCCAUUCCAUCAAGUCCCAAAGUGGUGGCAAAUCCAAAUAUUAUAGGUAUGAAUGUAGCAUAUUGUUGAUGUUUGGUUAGGGUGGGGGAAGAAAAAUUAAAAUUUGUAUAAAUAGGAAGGUCAAGAAAGAUUUGAAUGCAUGGAUGUGAUUUGUGGCUUUGGGGUAGAGGAAGGAUAAAUACUGUAGAACACAUCCACAGUAGAGAGGAUGAACAUUGUUUUUUGUUGGGCUGAACUAUAACCCUAUAACAUUGUCUUUAGAUUGGGAAAUUGCGCCUUGCCUUCUAUAAUUUAGAAUUAUUAAGGAGAACUGGAGAAAGACAGUGCUUUUUGGGGGGCAUGUGAUAACAGUGUGGAGUCUUCCAUUAGGUAGCUCAUAUGGGCUUCGUAUUUAGAAAACAUGAAAGUAGUUGCCAUUUAUCAUGAAGCAGUUUCCCAUCUGCAAGGGAGGUUCAGUUGGGAAGAGGUUUUUAUCUUCCUGUAUUUAUCCAUCACAUAGCUGGAUAAAUGUGUGGUGUGAUAGAUGUGGAAGCACGUUGAUGAAAAAAAAUUAAUAAUUAUGGAGCAUCAAUACAUGAAAGGCUAGAUCAUUUAAAUGUAUGUGUAUGUUGGAUGCUAUGUAAGUAGCCCAGGGACUAAGAUGAUGGAUUUAGACUGUGUUUACAAUAUAGUCUUCUGGAGGGUGAAAGAUAUGAGCACUAUUAUAAUAGGAGAGACUGAAGGGCCUCUAUGGAUGUUGAUUAAUGAGGAAGAAGAAGGGGGAGAUGUUAUAGAUGAAUACAUGGUUUGAGCAUUGAGAGGCCAACAGAAUUAUUUUGUUUUACCUAGGGGAGGAUGCAGUAUGAAUAUUUUGGUAAGUUCUCCCUUUAGACAAAAAAGGCGAGUGAUAUUAGCAGAACAUUAGCCUUGGAGACAUUACAGAGGCAUUGGACUUGGUCUCAUGGAGGCUUAAAAAUGUACA
ensembl:lncRNA